GUCCUUUAUAUUUUUAGUAACAAAGCUUUAUAUAUUUACUUUGGUUAUUAAGUUAUUAAGUUUCAGCAUGAGACGAAACAACUCGGGUUUUUUUUUCAUCUCGCGCAUGCGCAUUUGCGCAAUUGGACGGUUGAACUUGAGGAACACGAGACGAAAUCGACGAGGGACUUCAGCUCGGCUCGUGUUCGGGAAUGGAUUCGGCAGCAAAACUAGAUUCACUCAACGUUUCAUCAAUAAAUUCAAGGCUAAAUCUGGAGACAUUGGCUACAAACUUAAGAUUCUGCAUAAGGUUCAAAAUGACAAAUCCAAUAUCAAUGCGGAACGAACAGCGUUCUUCAUCAUGGCCUACCACUAGUUCUCGGAGAGGACCACAAUGAUUUUUACAAGACAUCUUUUGACUGUGAUGACAAUGAAGAUGUGUCCAACAUUGAAAUGUAUUCUGAAAUUGAUUCCCGAGUCGUCUGCAACCGCUGCCAUACCCUACUCCCUGCAUCUUGAUGCCACAACAACGGCAAUCAUUCUGGAAGGUACAGUGGUUGUGGAUGAUCUUGAAAAUCUUCCACAAGCAAUGAGCUGUCUUUAAAGGAACACUCCACCAUUUUUUUUUAAUAUUAAACUAUGUUAUUCCCUUAACUAAGACAAGUUGAUGCAUACCUCUCUCGUUUCAGUGCGCCGUACA